rnacentral:rRNA from 1 species
CCCGCUGAACUUAAGCAUAUCAAUAAGCGGAGGAAAAGAAACUAACAAGGAUUCCCCUAGUAACUGCGAGUGAAGCGGGAAAAGCUCAAAUUUGAAAUCUGGCGGUUCUUGACCGUCCGAGUUGUAAUCUAGAGAAGUGUUACCUGUGCUGGACCGUGUAAAAGUCUUCUGGAAUGGAGCAUCAUAGAGGGUGAGAAUCCCGUCUUUGACACGGACUACCUGUACAUUAUGGUGCGCUCUCAAAGAGUCGAGUUGUUUGGGAAUGCAGCUCAAAAUGGGUGGUAAAUUCCAUCUAAAGCUAAAUAUUGGCGAGAGACCGAUAGCGAACAAGUACCGUGAGGGAAAGAUGAAAAGCACUUCGGAAAGAGAGUUAAACAGUACGUGAAAUUGUUGAAAGGGAAACGUUUGAAGUCAGUCGCGUCGGCCGAGACUCAACCUUGCCAUCUCGGCUCGGUGCAUUUCUCGGUUGACGGGUCAGCAUCAAUUUCGGGCGUCGGAUAAAGGCUGAGGGAACGUGGCAUCCUUCGGGGUGUGUUAUAGCCCUCGGUUCGCAUACGACGAUCGGGAUUGAGGAACUCAGCACGCCUUCAUUGGUCGGGGCUUCGGCUCACGUUAACGUGCUUAGGAUGCUGGCGUAAUGGCUUUAAGCGACCCGUCUUGAAACACGG